ACUUGGCUCUAUCGAAGCUCUCAAUGGUUUUACACUUUAUCAUUGAGAGUCAAAAUGAAGCCUAAAUAAAUUUCUUUUCUAUAUGGUCGCUAAGUAACAGCUAUCUUCUGUUUCAUGGCACUACCCAAGGAAAGAACACUC